rnacentral:rRNA from 1 species
UACGAGGGGGGCGAGCGUUGUUCGGAAUUAUUGGGCGUAAAGGGUGCGUAGGCGGUUUGGUAAGUCUGAUGUGAAAGCCCACGGCUCAACCGUGGAAGGUCAUUGGAAACUGGGGGACUUGAGUACAGAAGAGGAAAGCGGAAUUCCACGUGUAGCGGUGAAAUGCGUAGAGAUGUGGAGGAACACCAGUGGCGAAGGCGGCUUUCUGGUCUGUAACUGACGCUGAGGCGCGAAAGCGUGGGGAGCAAACAGG